rnacentral:rRNA from 1 species
CUACACAUGCAGUCGAGCGGUAGAGAGAAGCUUGCUUCUCUUGAGAGCGGCGGACGGGUGAGUAAUGCCUAGGAAUCUGCCUGGUAGUGGGGGAUAACGUUCGGAAACGGACGCUAAUACCGCAUACGUCCUACGGGAGAAAGCAGGGGACCUUCGGGCCUUGCGCUAUCAGAUGAGCCUAGGUCGGAUUAGCUAGUUGGUGAGGUAAUGGCUCACCAAGGCGACGAUCCGUAACUGGUCUGAGAGGAUGAUCAGUCACACUGGAACUGAGACACGGUCCAGACUCCUACGGGAGGCAGCAGUGGGGAAUAUUGGACAAUGGGCGAAAGCCUGAUCCAGCCAUGCCGCGUGUGUGAAGAAGGUCUUCGGAUUGUAAAGCACUUUAAGUUGGGAGGAAGGGUUGUAGAUUAAUACUCUGCAAUUUUGACGUUACCGACAGAAUAAGCACCGGCUAACUCUGUGCCAGCAGCCGCGGUAAUACAGAGGGUGCAAGCGUUAAUCGGAAUUACUGGGCGUAAAGCGCGCGUAGGUGGUUUGUUAAGUUGGAUGUGA